GACUGAACCAAAAGGGUUACAAUAACAGUCUGCAGAAACAAGACAACACAUACACACUGGAUUCAGGUCUACACGUGGUGACAAUUCAUUCAAUACCAAUAAAGGGUGCAUUUCCAGUGCUAAAGGAAGAUACAUUUUAUGACGUGAAGAGAAAAAGUAAACAGGAAGAUAUAAAGGCAGAAGAUACCAUGGUCUUUGAGGAUAAGUGAUUGUAACAGAUCCUCUUUUGCUUUGAACAUCAGAUUUGGGCCACAUUUUUAUCGUCUUCUGUGAGUACUGCAGUGGUUGCAUCCUUUCUGAUCUGAACAGAAUUUUCCUGGACAGCCACAUCAGCCUACACAGCAGUGAUAUUCAUGGGGAGAGGAAGGUGGGUCUCACUGUUAUGUCCAUCUUACUGGAAGACCUUCAGGGGAGCUACAACAAAAAAACUUGGGCUUCAAACAUCUGAUGUGGAAGGAGGGCAUCCCAUUCUGACCCACUUGUCAAGGGUGAAGACAAAUGGGCUGAGUGAGGUUGGCUGUCCCCAAAGUGUUCCCACAUAGAGAACCAUUCAAGGAAAGGAUGAUGACCUGCACUGUGCCAUUUACUGUUAGGUAGUCUUCUGAAAGUGAAUCAGUCAAGUUGUGAUAUAAUCACAUCAUUGCAUCAUAUUCUUGCAUUUUUGUGCUUUUCCCUAUCAGUCAAGAAAACAGAAGGAAGAAAGACUGAGUCAGUUUGGUAGAUUCUCAAACUAUGUAUUGAUUAAAAGAUAACCUGCUUCUGCCGGUCAGAUCCACCAAUUCACACACAUAGGAAGUGCAAACACAUUAGUCAGAGUGUAUGACAAAAGGCAUCCAAAAGCCAUACUUACGGAGGUGGCAUGAUAACCCUAGCCCACUGAAAGACACUAAUUCCAUGCACCUGAGAGACCACCUUCCUCCACCUCCUGAAACAUUGGCUGGCAACAGUUUCAAGCAUACGCAAAUUACUCACACAGUCAAUUCACUGUUAAAAUUUUGGUAGAUUUAGGACACUUAAGCUUCAUGUAAAGAUUGUAAAGGGACUGGACAUUAGAGAAUGCAUGUAAAAGUCAUCUGGUAAAAAAUGAAAAGCAAUCUUUAUUGACUACAUUGUCCUGCUGUCCCCUGAGCCUUUUUUUUCUUUUAGCCAUUGUGCAACGUUAGGGUUGUUGCAGAACACUUGUAAUGUUUCAGACUGGAGCUUCCAGUAUCCUACUUGUGUUGUUGAAUACUGUGUAGGCAUACUACACACCUACUACAAAAUUUCACCUACUAUAAAAAAUUCACAUCCAUAAUGGUCUUCAAUUGAAAUGGCCUAGGUAUUAAGCAGAAGUAAAAGUAAUAGUGUCAAAGCUUUGUAAUGCCUUAGGACUAACCCUUGGAAUAGCUGUAUCAAUAAACUGUAGGUCCCAUAUAGGAAAUAUAUCAGAUACUUUAUAUAAUCUGAUUCAUAUAAUCAGUAACAUUUCAUAUAUAAUCUUAUUCUUAUGAUGAUUUCCCCAAGUAAUCUUUUGUCCAAAUAAAAUAAUUAUUUGUAUGACAGAAAAAUCAGUGUUACGUAUUUCUUUGCAAUCCUAUAAAUGCUAUAGAUCUGUGCUCAUUUUAGCAAACUUACUUAAAAAAAAGGUUGUGACUUACUGCAAAAUAAUUAAAAAUUCCCUGACCCUUUAGAUUAGAUUGCAUUCAGCUGAGUUUCUUAAUGGGCACCCACAACAAUAAAGAGCAUAUUUACAGUGCCUGAAGAUUACCAAUUAAGUAUUAUUACUAGCAAUGAUUACUAGUUACUAGUGAUAAUUAUAGCCAUCUUAGAAUGGACUUCUGGAGGUCAUUUUUUUCCACCUUUUGCUCAUAGCAGGGUCAACUUCAAAGUUAGCUGAGGUGGUUCAGGGUCAUAGCUGGCUGACACCAGCUGCUGUCGUCAGUGUCUCUGGGAUGCUUGGUAAUGUCGUUAAUGCUCCCAGAGAAUUAAUGCUUCUCUUAUGUGCUGCUGCCUUUUUUUUUUUUUUUUUUUUAAAUCUUUGGUAAAAAGAGUAUUUUUUUCUUAUGUCCUUAUUCAUGAAAUGUAUUAACACCAAGAUUACAGGUUUCUUGAUAAAGGCCUUUCUUCUUAUCUUUGAAAUUUUCUGUUUUUUUAAAUAAUGAAGAUGACUUCAGAUGCUUUAUCUGAAAAGGUAUGUGAGACGUCCAAGUCAAAGAAUGUUGACUGUCAUUCCCACAAGAAUAUUGGAGCAGAUGAGUCAUCCUUUGAACAGGCACUGGGAAGAUUCAUUUAGCAGCUAGUUAUUCUUUUAUAGCAACUUGUGAAAAUAUUUCUAGUCCUCAAUGAUUGCCACUAAAGGUUUUAUUUGUAAAGAAAUUGACUAGAUAAACCAAGCUUUUCCAGAACAAUUCCAUGUAUGGACACUGUACUGUGUAACUGAAGUCAUUAUUUGCCAGAGUAAUUAAUGAAUUUUGGUAUAGGUAUUCUAUAAGACAUACUAUGUAGAUCUGCUGUAAUAUUAUUCUAUGACAGCUAUUUUGGGUAAACAAGGCUACAGAAAUGUGAAAGAGUUUCUAAAAGUGUAUUUUAGUAUUGUUAUUUAGAAGUGAAGCUACUGUAGGCACCUGUGUCAUAUGACUGAGCAGAAAAUUCGAUAUAACAUUUUAAAUUUGCAUUGGAAAUUUCUGUAUUUUUAGUUACUAUCAUUCCAAAGCCAACUGUAUGCAGGAAAUAACAAGUGGGGAAAAAAAGUAAUAAUCUUGCUUUUGUGAACUAAGGAGAAACUGAUUGCAUUAUAUUUACUAGGUGUAUGAUAAUUUCCUUUGGUGUCCCACCCACCCCCCCCCCCCCCCCCGGGGCCCCAAUCCUUUUUUUGGAUAUACAGUAUUGGAAUUACCUAUGGUAUUAAAUGAAGAAAAUUUGCUCACAUAUUCACUGGAACUGCAGUCUGCACCGUGGGCUGCAUCGUGGCUUCAGACUGGGGAACUAAUGGAGAUGAACGGGUAGUUCAGCCCGAUGCCAGCCAGCCAGCUGCACGUGCAAAAGCCCUGUCAUGGUGUUGGCAGAAAUUAAUCAGCACUUUGUUGGCUUCUCACUCCAACCAAGUACUGAGCUGGCAGUAAAAUUAAAACGUAUUCCCACCGGGAGGGGCUAUCCCUUCACAAGGAUGAAGAAUGCAGGUGACGGAGUGUAUGAGGUUGUGUCGCUGCCGGGGCACCUGCGCUCCACGGCAGACCAGCACAUUGUCCUCUCCAAAACAGCUUCUGCUGACCCACUCCACGAAGAACGCAUUUGCUGAAAAUUGCUACUAAUAAAUCAGUAAGUCUUAAAUAACGCUCACUAAUGGCAGACAGGGAGCACUUGUGUUGACAACUAUCAUUACUUAUUUAAUUUAUAAUAACAAUAAGGAGCCCUAGUGAGAGAUUCCGAUUAAUAUUUUUUUUUAACUUUCUUUCAACUUCUAUUUAAAACACAAAAAAGCAUUUAAAAAACUGUCAGCAUAAGCUUAAUGAUUCUAGCAGAAGUCCAUGUUUCUAGUCACAGAAAAACUGGCCUUGGUACUGCCUAUUUUAAACCAUGAGUAUUUGAGAGUAAAUACCUACUCUAAAAUACAAGUAUCUAAUGAGCACAGUGCAGUUUUUAUGACAGCAUUUUUAGGUGUUGAUAUAUGACAAAAAAUUAGGAAUAAUAAAAAAAUAAUGCUCAUUGAAAUCAAUAGCAGAUUUAGUAACUGCUGGAAUAAUUGGUUGUGUUUAUAUGAGAUGAUAUUCCAUCACUUCUUACAAUGAUCACACUACCAUUAUUACAGCAUUUCUAUCUCUUUACUUCUGUUAAGUCAUGAUAACCUACCUCACAUAAAAUUUUCCUUUCAGCACUUUUGUAACACUGCAAAAUCUAACCCAUCGAAAGAGAAGAAAUGCUUAAAAAGUUUUUGUAAAAAAUCACCCCUUUAUUAAGUUAAAAAAAAAAAUACAUGGCCAAUGUUAGGCAAUCUGUUUUGGAGCAAUGUAGGA